rnacentral:rRNA from 1 species
CCUACGGGAGGCAGCAGUGGGGAAUAUUGCACAAUGGGGGAAACCCUGAUGCAGCGACGCCGCGUGAGUGAUGAAGUAUUUCGGUAUGUAAAGCUCUAUCAGCAGGGAAGAUAAUGACGGUACCUGACUAAGAAGCUCCGGCUAAAUACGUGCCAGCAGCCGCGGUAAUACGUAUGGAGCAAGCGUUAUCCGGAUUUACUGGGUGUAAAGGGAGCGCAGACGGCAGGGCAAGUCUGAUGUGAAAGUCCGGGGCUCAACCCCGGGACUGCAUUGGAAACUGUCCGGCUGGAGUGCAGGAGAGGUAAGUGGAAUUCCUAGUGUAGCGGUGAAAUGCGUAGAUAUUAGGAGGAACACCAGUGGCGAAGGCGGCUUACUGGACUGUAACUGACGUUGAGGCUCGAAAGCGUGGGGAGCAAACAGGAUUAGAUACCCGGGUAGUC